UUUCCUACGGGAGGCAGCAGUAGGGAAUUUUGCGCAAUGGGCGAAAGCCUGACGCAGCAACACCGCGUGAAUGUUAAGCCCUUCGGGGUGUAAAGUUCUGUCAAUAGGGACGAAUUUUGACUGUACCUAUAAAGGAAGCACCGGCUAACUCCGUGCCAGCAGCCGCGGUAAUACGGGGGGUGCAAGCGUUGUCCGGAAUCAUUGGGCGUAAAGCGUUCGUAGGCGGCAAAGUAAGUCUGAUGUUAAAGCCCGGGGCUCAACUCCGGUUCGGCAUUGGAUACUAUCUAGCUAGAAUGUGGUAGAGG
rnacentral:rRNA from 1 species